UCUUUCUCUCAAAUACUUCCAACUUUUUUUCAUCUGACUUUGUCGUCGCCCAAGUACUGCUUGCAUAUAGAGCUAUUGGUCUGACUAGAACUUUAUAUAAUGUUACUUUGGAUUUCCUUGAUAAUAGUUUUGAUUUGAACAAUGAUAAUAGUCCAAAGUAACACCUGUUUGCUGCGAUGAGCCGUCUUUUCACUUCUCCGUGGCUAUUAGCAUCUUCAUUAAUAUCUGCACCUAAGUAUUUAAAAUUUCUUACCCUUUCAA